GACAGAGGAUGCAAGCGUUAUCCGGAAUGAUUGGGCGUAAAGCGUCUGUAGGUGGUUUGACAAGUCUUUUGUCAAAGAUCAGGCUUAACCCUGGGCCGGCAAGAGAAACUAUCAGACUAGAGUUCGGUAGGGGCAGAGGGAAUUCCCGGUGGAGCGGUGAAAUGCGUAGAGAUGUGGAGGAACACCGAUGGCGAAGGCAGCCCCCUGGGCUGAGAUUGACGCUCAGGCACGAAAGCGUGGGGAGCAAACAGG
rnacentral:rRNA from 1 species